rnacentral:rRNA from 1 species
UGGGGAAUAUUGGACAAUGGGCGAAAGCCUGAUCCAGCCAUGCCGCGUGAGUGAUGAAGGCCCUAGGGUUGUAAAGCUCUUUCAGCGGGGAAGAUAAUGACGGUACCCGCAGAAGAAGCCCCGGCUAACUUCGUGCCAGCAGCCGCGGUAAUACGAAGGGGGCUAGCGUUGUUCGGAAUCACUGGGCGUAAAGCGCGUGUAGGCGGAUUGUUAAGUCGGGGGUGAAAUCCUGAGGCUCAACCUCAGAACUGCCUUCGAUACUGGCGAUCUUGAGUCCGGGAGAGGUGAGUGGAACUCCUAGUGUAGAGGUGAAAUUCGUAGAUAUUAGGAAGAACACCAGUGGCGAAGGCGGCUCACUGGCCCGGAACUGACGCUGAAACGCGAAAGCGUGGGGAGCAAACAGG